GACGAACGCUGGCGGCGUGCUUAACACAUGCAAGUCGAACGGAAAGGCCUGUCCUUCCUUGUGUUGGACGGGUGCUCGAGUGGCGAACGGGUGAGUAACACGUGAGUGAUCUGCCCCCAACUUGGGUAUAAGCCUGGGAAACUGGGUCUAAUUCCCGAUAGGACUGCAGGGUGGUGCCUGUGGUGGAAAACGAUUUUCUAGUGGUUGGGGAUGAGCUCGCGGCCUAUCAGCUUGUUGGUGGGGUAAUGGCCUACCAAGGCGGCGACGGGUAGCCGGCCUGGGAGGGUGGACGGCCACAUUGGGACUGGGAUACGGCCCAGACUCCUACGGGAGGCAGCAGUGGGGAAUAUUGCACAAUGGGCGGAAGCCUGAUGCAGCGACGCCGCGUGGGGGAUGACGGCCUUCGGGUUGUAAACUCCUUUCGACCGCGAGGAAGCCGCCUGGUUGGAAGGGUGGUGACGGUAGUGGUAGAAGAAGCACCGGCUAACUACGUG
rnacentral:rRNA from 1 species